rnacentral:lncRNA from 1 species
AUGACACCACAACUUCACAUACGUCGCCAUCUCUUUACUUUCCUAUAGUUAUCUUCUAGACUGUGUCUUCUCCUUAUCUCCAGUUUUCAUUCUGUAUUUUUUUUCUUUUUAGUAAGAGGAAAUAACUCUACAUUCAAAUUUGAGCAGGGCACUUGGUGACCUACUUAGACAUGACAUUCCUUGGCCUCCCUUUCAGCAAGAUGAGAAAACUGAGGCACAGAGAGGUGAAAUAAGGCCCCCAGAAUGCUCUUCUCCAAGACUUAGAAAAAUCAAAUGCUAUCCAUCCCUCAAGAUACAUCCCUCC